GACGAACGCUGGCGGCGUGCUUAACACAUGCAAGUCGAACGGAAAGGCCCUGCUUUUGUGGGGUGCUCGAGUGGCGAACGGGUGAGUAACACGUGAGUAACCUGCCCUUGACUUUGGGAUAACUUCAGGAAACUGGGGCUAAUACCGGAUAGGAGCUCCUGCUGCAUGGUGGGGGUUGGAAAGUUUCGGCGGUUGGGGAUGGACUCGCGGCUUAUCAGCUUGUUGGUGGGGUAGUGGCUUACCAAGGCUUUGACGGGUAGCCGGCCUGAGAGGGUGACCGGCCACAUUGGGACUGAGAUACGGCCCAGACUCCUACGGGAGGCAGCAGUGGGGAAUAUUGCACAAUGGGCGGAAGCCUGAUGCAGCAACGCCGCGUGCGGGAUGACGGCCUUCGGGUUGUAAACCGCUUUCGCCUGUGACGAAGCGUGAGUGACGGUAAUGGGUAAAGAAGCACCGGCUAACUACGUGCCAGCAGCCGCGGUGAUACGUAGGGUGCGAGCGUUGUCCGGAUUUAUUGGGCGUAAAGGGCUCGUAGGUGGUUGAUCGCGUCGGAAGUGUAAUCUUGGGGCUUAACCCUGAGCGUGCUUUCGAUACGGGUUGACUUGAGGAAGGUAGGGGAGAAUGGAAUUCCUGGUGGAGCGGUGGAAUGCGCAGAUAUCAGGAGGAACACCAGUGGCGAAGGCGGUUCUCUGGGCCUUUCCUGACGCUGAGGAGCGAAAGCGUGGGGAGCGAACAGGCUUAGAUACCCUGGUAGUCCACGCUGUAAACGGUGGGUACUAGGUGUGGGGUCCAUUCCACGGGUUCCGUGCCGUAGCUAGCGCUUUAAGUACCCCGCCUGGGGAGUACGGCCGCAAGGCUAAAACUCAAAGGAAUUGACGGGGCCCCGCACAAGCGGCGGAGCAUGCGGAUUGAUUCGAUGCAACGCGUAGAACCUUACCUGGGUUUGACAUGGAUCGGGAGUGCUCAGAGAUGGGUGUGCCUCUUUUGGGGUCGGUUCACAGGUGGUGCAUGGCUGUCGUCAGCUCGUGUCGUGAGAUGUUGGGUUAAGUCCCGCAACGAGCGCAACCCUUGUUCACUGUUGCCAGCACGUUAUGGUGGGGACUCAGUGGAGACCGCCGGGGUCAACUCGGAGGAAGGUGGGGAUGACGUCAAGUCAUCAUGCCCCUUAUGUCCAGGGCUUCACGCAUGCUACAAUGGCUGGUACAGAGAGUGGCGAGCCUGUGAGGGUGAGCGAAUCUCGGAAAGCCGGUCUCAGUUCGGAUUGGGGUCUGCAACUCGACCUCAUGAAGUCGGAGUCGCUAGUAAUCGCAGAUCAGCAACGCUGCGGUGAAUACGUUCCCGGG
rnacentral:rRNA from 1 species